rnacentral:rRNA from 1 species
AGAGUUUGAUCAUGGCUCAGAACGAACGCUGGCGGCAGGCUUAACACAUGCAAGUCGAGCGCCUCGCAAGAGGAGCGGCAGACGGGUGAGUAACACGUGGGAACGUGCCCAAAGGUACGGAACAACUCCGGGAAACUGGAGCUAAUACCGUAUGUGCCCGAAAGGGGAAAGAUUUAUCGCCUUUGGAUCGGCCCGCGUCUGAUUAGCUAGUUGGUAGGGUAAUGGCCUACCAAGGCGACGAUCAGUAGCUGGUCUGAGAGGAUGACCAGCCACACUGGGACUGAGACACGGCCCAGACUCCUACGGGAGGCAGCAGUGGGGAAUAUUGGACAAUGGGCGCAAGCCUGAUCCAGCCAUGCCGCGUGAGUGAUGAAGGCCUUAGGGUUGUAAAGCUCUUUCGCCAGGGACGAUAAUGACGGUACCUGGAUAAGAAGCCCCGGCUAACUUCGUGCCAGCAGCCGCGGUAAUACGAAGGGGGCUAGCGUUGUUCGGAAUUACUGGGCGUAAAGCGUAUGUAGGCGGAUCUUUAAGUCAGGGGUGAAAUCCCGAGGCUCAACCUCGGAACUGCCUUUGAUACUGGGGAUCUUGAGUCCGGGAGAGGUGAGUGGAACUGCGAGUGUAGAGGUGAAAUUCGUAGAUAUUCGCAAGAACACCAGUGGCGAAGGCGGCUCACUGGCCCGGUACUGACGCUGAAAUACGAAAGCGUGGGGAGCAAACAGGAUUAGAUACCCUAGUAGUCC